AAAAAUCAGGAUGCUUUAGCUGACAUCAAGGACAACGAGUUCAGACGCCACAGCGAGCUCCGUUCCGAGUCUGAUCGCAAAGUGGCGUCAUUAGAAGGUCGUCUUGAAGCGACGAUCAGAAAAUAUGAGACGCAGCUGCACAAUCUGCAGAUGAAGAAUGAACGACUGAAGAGCGGUGCAGCAGCAACGGAACAGAGAGAUAAUGGCGCACCACAACCUCUGCUGUCCUCCACAAGCAAGAUCCUCCCAGAAUAUGUCCCCAGAAGGCCCGUGGAUCUAAGCGCCAGUAGCGGCUACACGGAUACUGAAGCGCUGACCUAUGCCGACCUGAACGUGGACCAAGCUCC